rnacentral:tRNA from 2 species
UGAGGUGUAGCUCAGUGGCAGGGCAUUUGCCUGGAGUGUGAAAGGUCUGGGGUUUCAUUCCCAGUGCUACAG